rnacentral:lncRNA from 1 species
CUUCCCCUUCACCUCUCCGGCAGCAGCUAGGUCGUGGCUGCCGCCACCGUGCCUCGGCUCACCGCCCCCAUCAACUCUUCAAACCCUAUCUUCUAGAUCUCUCUAUAUCUCGGGGCUGCGUCUCUCUCCUUCUUCUUCACCGCCUUCCUCUGAGCACGACGCGCUCCGCUCCGCUCCCAGUCGACGCGCUCCGCUCUGCACCACAGGAACUCGCUCUCGCCCUACCUCUCUCUGCGACGGCGCCACUUCUUUUCCCCGGCGAGGAACGCCGCUGCCGCCGACUACCUCUCUCUGCGACG